AUGCUCACGGUGUCUCUCCUAGACGCGCAACUCGCUCGGUGCUCCUCCGCGCGCCAUCUCCUCCAGAUUCACGGCCAGUUCAUCGCCUCCGGCCUCCUCGCCGAUGCCUUCGCCGCCAGCCGCCUCCUCCUCUUCACCUCCGCUACCCGCCUCCUCCCGCUCCCCAUCCACCAUUCGUUCCGCCUCCUCCGACUCGUCCGCUGCCCCAACGCCUUCUCCUGCAACACGCUCCUCAAGGCGGCCCUGCUCGCUGGGACGCCGCACCUCUGCCUACCACUCUACACCUCCCUGCCGGCGUCCCCCGACGCCUACACCCACCCCAUCCUCGCCGCCGCCUGCGCGGCCAGGAGGGACGUGAGUGAAGGCAGGCAGGUGCAGUCACACGCUAUCAGGCACGGGUUCGGUGAUGAUUUGUACCUCAGGAACGGCCUGAUGCAUAUGUACUCUGUUUGCGGCUGCCUCAGGGACGCACGCAUGGUGUUCGACGCAGGUCCCGUGUGGGACGCUGUUUCGUGGAACACCAUCCUGGCUGCCUACGUGCAUGCUGGGGAUGUUGAUCAGGCGGUUGGGGUGUUCGCACGGAUGCCAAAGCGGAAUGCCACAGCGGUGAGCUCCAUGGUAUCAUUGUUUGGGAGGAGGGGUAUGGUGGACGAGGCAAGAUGGGUGUUUGACGAGGCUGAGUGCAGGGAUAUUUUCACGUGGACUGCCAUGAUUUCUUGCUUUGAGAGGAACAACAUGUUUGCAGAGGCGUUGCAUAUGUUCUCGUGCAUGCGUCGAGAGAUGCGGCCUGUGGACGAGGCGCUGAUGGUCAGUGUGGUGGCCGCUUGUGCACAGUCAGAGGUGAUUCGAAAUGGGGAACUGUGCCAUGGACUGGUUAUCAGGGCUGGCCUUUGUUCGCUGCUAAACAUUCAGAAUGUGCUGAUCCACAUGUACUCAUGUUGCCUGGAUGUUGUUGCAGCACGGAGGUUGUUUGACAGCGGUGACUGCUUGGACCAGUUCUCCUGGAACUCGAUGAUAGCAGGCUAUCUAAAGAGUGGUCAUGUCGAAAAUGCAAUGACAUUGUUCAGUGCAAUGCCUGACAAGGACAAUGUUUCUUGGAGUACAAUGAUUUCUGGUUGUGUGCAGAAUAACCAAUCCUCAGAUGCACUCACUGUCUUCGAUCACAUGCGAGCCCAGGGAGUCAGGCCGGAUGAAGUUACUAUCAUUAGUGUUAUAUCUGCAUGCACCAAUCUGUCUGCUCUGGAGAAAGGAAAGUCGGUGCAUGAUUAUGUAAGGCAAAACAAAUGUUACAUCAGUCUUGUACUUGGGACUAGCCUCAUUGACAUGUACAUGAAGUGUGGAUACUUGGAAGCUGCAAUGGAUGUCUUCAACAUAAUGGAAGAAAAAGGAGCACCUUGCUGGAAUGCUGUCAUUGUGGGGUUGGCCAUGAACGGCCUUGUGACGAAAUCCCUUGAGAUGUUCUCAGAGAUGGAAGCAUCCGGCACUGCCAUCCCGAAUGAGAUAACUUUCAUCGGAGUUUUGAGUGCUUGCAGACAUGCUGGCCUAGUUGAGGAGGGCCGCCACUUCUUCAAGUUGAUGCAACAGAAGUACCGAAUUGUGCCAAACAUCAGACACUAUGGAUGCAUGGUUGAUCUUCUUGGACGUGCUGGAUAUGUUAAGGAGGCUGAGGAUCUGAUUGAGAGCAUGCCCAUGUUACCUGAUGUUCCAGCAUGGGGUGCAUUGCUUGGUGCCUGCUGGAAGCAUGGUGAAAAUGAGGUUGGAGAAAGGGUGGGCAGGAAGCUUGUCAAUCUGGAUCCUCGCCAUGACGGGUUUCACACUAUGUUAUCUAACAUAUAUGCUAAAGAGGGGAUGUGGCAAUCAGUAAAUGACCUAAGGGACUCCAUGAAGCAACGACAUGUCCCAAAAGUUUCAGGAUAUAGUGUCGUUGAAAUGUCUCCUUCUUGA
rnacentral:rRNA from 1 species